AACGAACGCUGGCGGCAUGCCUAACACAUGCAAGUCGAACGAGACCUUCGGGUCUAGUGGCUCACGGGUGCGUAACGCGUGGGAACCUUCCCUUAUGUUCGGAAUAACUCCCCGAAAUGGGUGCUAAUACCGGAUAAUGUCUUCUGACCAAAGAUUUAUCGCCUUUGGAUGGGCCCGCGUUGGAUUAGCUAUUUGGUAGGGUAAAAGCCUACCAAGGCGACGAUCCAUAGCUGGUCUGAGAGGAUGAUCAGCCACACUGGGACUGAGACACGGCCCAGAAUCCUACGGGAGGCAGCAGUGGGGAAUAUUGGAAAAUGGGCGAAAGCAUGAUGCAGCAAUGCCGCGUGAGUGAUGAAGGCCUUAGGGUUGUAAAGCUCUUUUACCCGGGAUGAUAAUGACAGUACCGGGAGAAUAAGCUCCGGCUAACUCCGUG
rnacentral:rRNA from 1 species